rnacentral:rRNA from 1 species
UACGGAGGGUGCAAGCGUUAUCCGGAUUUACUGGGGUUAAAGGGUGCGUAGGUGGGCAGGAAAGUCAGUGGUGAAAUCUCCGGGCUUAACCCGGAAACUGCCAUUGAUACUAUUUGUCUUGAAUACUUUGGAGGUAAGCGGAAUAUGUCAUGUAGCGGUGAAAUGCUUAGAUAUGACAUAGAACACCAAUGGCGAAAGCAGCGUACUGGACAGCAAUUGACGCUGAGGCGCGAAAGCUUGGGGAGCAAACAGG